rnacentral:rRNA from 1 species
CCUACGGGAGGCAGCAGUGGGGAAUAUUGCACAAUGGGGGGAACCCUGAUGCAGCGACGCCGCGUGAGUGAAGAAGUACUUCGGUAUGUAAAGCUCUAUCAGCAGGGAAGAAAAUGAUGGUACCUGACUAAGAAGCCACGGCUAACUACGGGCAAGCAGCCGCGGUAAUACGUAGGGGGCAAGCGUUAUCCGGAUUGACUGGGUGUAAAGGGGGCGAUGAGGGUUAUGAAAGUCUGAAGGGAAGACCCAAGGCCCAACCCUCGUACUGUUUUGGAAACUGUAAAACUGGAGUGAAUGAGAGGUAAGCGGAAUUCCUAGUGUAGCGGUGAAAUGCGUAGAUAUUAGGAGGAACACCAGUUGCGAAGGCAGCUUACUGGACUGUAACUGACGCUGAGGCACGAAAGCGUGGGGAGCAAACAGGAUUAGAUACCCGAGUAGUC